UGGGGAAUAUUGGACAAUGGGCGAAAGCCUGAUCCAGCCAUGCCGCGUGUGUGAAGAAGGCCUUUUGGUUGUAAAGCACUUUAAGCGAGGAGGAGGCUACUUAGAUUAAUACUCUAGGAUAGUGGACGUUACUCGCAGAAUAAGCACCGGCUAACUCUGUGCCAGCAGCCGCGGUAAUACAGAGGGUGCGAGCGUUAAUCGGAUUUACUGGACGUAAAGCGUGCGUAGGCGGCUUUUUAAGUCGGAUGUGAAAUCCCUGAGCUUAACUUAGGAAUUGCAUUCGAUACUGGGAAGCUAGAGUAUGGGAGAGGAUGGUAGAAUUCCAGGUGUAGCGGUGAAAUGCGUAGAGAUCUGGAGGAAUACCGAUGGCGAAGGCAGCCAUCUGGCCUAAUACUGACGCUGAGGUACGAAAGCAUGGGGAGCAAACAGG
rnacentral:rRNA from 1 species